AGUGAACGCUGGCGGCAGGCCUAACACAUGCAAGUCGAACGGCAGCACAGUAAGAGCUUGCUCUUACGGGUGGCGAGUGGCGGACGGGUGACGAAUACAUCGGAAUCUACUUUUUCGUGGGGGAUAACGUAGGGAAACUUACGCUAAUACAGCAUACGACCUACGGGUGAAAGCAGGGGAUAUUCGGACCUUUCGCGGAUGAAUGAGCCGAUGUCGGAUUAGCUAGUUGGCGGGUUAAAGGCCCACCCAGGCGACGAUCCGUAGCCGGUCUGAGAGGAUGGUAGGCCGCACUGGAGCUGAGACACGGUCCAGGCUCCUACGGGAGGCAGCAGUGGGGAAUAUUGGACAAUGGGCGCAAGCCUGAUCCAGUCAUACCGCGUGGGUUAAGAAGGCCUUCGGGUUGUAAAGACCUUUUGUGGGGAAAGAAAAGCAGCAGGUUAAUACCCCGCUGGUCUGACGGUACCCAAAGAAUAAGCACCGGCUAACUUCGUG
rnacentral:rRNA from 1 species